CCUGCCCUGGAAACCAGGCAUUUCUCCACUAGGGCACCCUGCCCUCUCCCACACCUUGAGCAACUGGGACUCUACCUGCUGGCCCUCACUCAGCGCAGAAUGCUUCAUGGGAGGCACACAUUGAUAUGCUUGUAGUGCCCACUCUCCGGGUGUCAGCCACAGACACAAAAUCCCCAAACCCUCUUCCACUCGAAACUGAAAGUGGCUGGAAGAUGGAUAGUCUCUUCAGGGCAAGUGAACACAGACUCUAGAAAAACAGACUAUGAGAUGUCCUUUCACACUAGUGAUACUGGCACAAGUGACGAAAACAUCCAGUGUUGGUGUGGCUGUGGGGAGAAAUGGACCCACAUUCACUGCUAGUAGGAUUGUCAACUGGUCCAAACGUUUUGGAAAACAGUCCUGAGACUUCAAGGAUUUUGCAUUCUGUUUACAAAAUGCAACAGUUGUUAGAAAUUAAACUUUCAGUUACGUUAUCUUAAAAAUAAUAUUCAAUGCAUAAUUUAAAAAUUAAUAUAUUAGACUUUAUAAUUUCCGAUCUUGAAGUUACCUGUAGCUAUAUGGUAGAAAUAAUCUAUAACAGGAGGGGCCGGAGCGAUAGCACAGCGGGUAGGGCGUUUGCCUUGCAUGCGGCCGACCUGGGUUCAAUCCCCGGCAUCCCAUAUGGUCCCCCGAGCACUGCCAGGAGUAAUUCCUGAGUGCAAAGCCAGGAGUAACCCCUGGGCAUCGCUGGGUGUGACCCAAAAAGCAAAAAAAAAAAAAGAAAGAAUCUAUAACAGGAGGCUACUUUGCAUAUUUUCAUGGCCCUGUAUUGGUGCAUCAUGUGAGUAUCUUGAGUGAUGGAAAUAUUUACACCACACACACCAUGGCUUUACUCCCCACUCCAGGUCGGCAGGGACUGAACUUGUACCAGUACAUCACUGCUUCUACAAUUAUUUGCACAUUUCCCUUGGAUAUUCAGAUGAAUGAAUGACUAGAUGGCUGGAUGGUUAUGUAGAUGAAAAGAUGGUGAGAUGGUUGGCUGAUUAGUUAUGUGAUGAUGGAGGAGUGGAUGGACACCUAGACUGUUGAUUGGUUGGUUGGUGGUGUGACGGAGGGGGAUGAAUAGAUUGAUACAUGGUUGACUGGUUAGUUAUGUGACAGAUGGAUUGAGGGUGAUGGAUGAAUAGGUGGCUUAGAUAGAUGUAUGGACGGACAGACAGACCAAUGGAGUGGGUCUAUAAUAGACUGUAGUUGGAAGUUCCCUCCCUUCCUGACAGUCACUGGAUUCUAAUGUCUAUUCCCAGGGCCUGAACUGAAGAGCACACGAAGAAGGCCUGACUCUAACUUGCAUUUUAUGGGCUAUUCAAGCUUCCCUGGGAGUCCUGUGCCUUGGAGGGAUGCCGUCGUUCCAGACGCCAGUGGGGGGCCUCCUUCGUGCCCCCUCCUCUACCCACUUCCUGCAGAGGUGGUGCAGGAAGCCCAUAAUCAAGUCUUCAGGUUAGAUUCUUGGCGAAUACUGGAGGCAAGAACUCUACGUGAUGGGUGCUCUGUUUACCUUUGGUCACUGGAGAAGUGGCUGAUGUAAGCUGGUGCCACUCUGCGUCAUUCCGGGGAAACAUAUUUUAGAGAAGCAGCCUUGGUGGAUGACUCGGCACGGAUGGAGAUGAGCAGCAUUCGAAAUCAGCCAGGGAAGACCACACUGAGACAUCUGCUGCUGCGCCCUCAGUUCACCCGCUACCACCCCCCCCACGGGACCCUCUUAGCCCCGUGGCCUGCCUCCUUGUCCCCCUACCCCCCGGGCGUGUCCUUAUGGGGCCUUAGAGUGUCAACAUUGAUUUCAGUUUGCCUUAGCUCAUUUGCUUCCUU